UAGUGGUCAGAGUUGGCCGAUGGGGCAUAGACCCCCCUCUGCAAUAGAACAUUGGAGGCCAAGGAGUGGGGCAUUCGAGCCAGAGCCGCAACCGCCGACCAUGAAGGCAAUUCGAGGAUGCCAGCCAAGUGGUAUUUCAUCACGUUAGUGAGAUAUUUGUAGAUGAUGGAGAAAGAGAGAUUGCUUUGAAGAUGGUCACCUUGACCAACUAGAUGUGUUAAGUCAGAGAAGAGAGUGUGGAGGAAGA
rnacentral:lncRNA from 1 species